rnacentral:lncRNA from 1 species
UAGCAAAAUCGUACAUUUUCAGAACAAAACACAGGGGAACAGAAAAAAUGCACCACGGAAUCUAUGCAGAUUGCAAUAGGAACAGUAACUACAGUAUGUCAUAACCAUCAAUAGAGGUAGAAUCCAGCAUCCUAUUGAUAGGAAAGAAAACUAAAUGCUAAUGUGUGAGUGUUUGAAAGAAGUAAUAAACAAACAAAUCUAGUUAUUGUUCAUAAAGCAUGAUGACAUAGCAUCGCCAUGCAUCAAAGAAGCUUCGCCCUCCACUUUGUAAUUAUUAUAUGAGGAAUCCUUAUCAUUAUGUAUUUCAGCAGUAAUAGAUGGUUCAAUGUAAAAGCAAAUAAAAAAUAAUAUUUUCUUCUAGUCAAAUCAAGUAGUACUUUGUAUAGCUGAUAAUUUUUUUUUAUAGAUCAUCAGAUAAUUUUAUUAAUCAAAAGAGAAUACACAGGACUUUGUAUAGCUGAUAAUUGCCUAAUGGAAAGGGAAAUCUAAUGCCCCAAAUCUGAAUUUGGCACCAAACCUUUUUUCUAAGUUCACACUAAAUCUGUGACUGAUGGCCCUCCUUCCAUGUGAAAACAUCUGCCAAAAAUGAUAUAUAGAAUACAAUGGCACGACUGGUCAAGUAUGUAGUGAUUACGUUGUAACUAAUCCAGAUAAUUGAAAACAUAAAAUCUCCUACACCAGAUAAUUCGUUUAUGCAAAACUCAGACGAUACUAGAAACACAGCACUAUGAAUAAUAAUGACAAACAACCUCCUCAUAAAAUUCUUCCUCGAGCUCAUCCACAACUUGACCUUGAGGUCUGCUUCCAUAUAUUGAACUCAAUUCUUCAGAGCUAGAAGAGAGAUUAUGCCUCUGAUGUGGAGGUAGUCCUGCAAUAAUACGGGCAACAGCAGCUGCUGCUGCAGCCCGUGCUGGAACCUGCAACCAAAAUUGGUUGAAAGAGUCAAGACUGUGUAAAUGAAGUAAUACAACUUUGAGAAUUAUUCAAGCAGCAUAACAUGAAUAAAAACAGUUGUCUUGUGUAUAAUGAUGAACAUAAGCAACAAUUAAAACACUAAAGAAUGUUCCAUCAAAUAUCUGAGCCUUUCUCUCCAUAAAACCACCCCGAAGUAUAGCCAAUUAAAACAGUUGGCCCAAAUACAAGUUGACACAAUGACGCUGAAGAAAU